rnacentral:rRNA from 1 species
GACGAACGCUGGCGGCGUGCCUAAUACAUGCAAGCCGAGCGAAUCAAUAGGAGCUUGCUCCUGUUGGUUAGCGGCGGACGGGUGAGUAACACGUGGGCAACCUGCCUGUAAGACUGGGAUAACACCGGGAAACCGGUGCUAAUACCGGAUAAUCCUUUUCCUCUCAUGAGGAAAAGCUGAAAGUCGGUUUCGGCUGACACUUACAGAUGGGCCCGCGCCGCAUGAGGUAGUUGGUGAGGUAACGGCUCUCCAAGGCGACGAUGCGUAGCCGACCUGAGAGGGGGAUCGGCCACACUGGGACUGAGACACGGCCCAGACUCCUACGGGAGGCAGCAGUAGGGAAUCUUCCACAAUGGACGAAAGUCUGAUGGAGCAACGCCGCGUGAGUGAUGAAGGCCUUCGGGUCGUAAAGCUCUGUUGUUAGGGAAGAACAAGUACCGGAGUAACUGCCGGUACCUUGACGGUACCUAACCAGAAAGCCACGGCUAACUACGUGCCAGCCGCCGCGGUAAUAC